AAACUUGAGAGUUUGAUCAUGGCUCAGAACGUACGCUGGCGGCACGCCUAACACAUGCAAGUCGAACGAAGUAGCAAUACUUAGUGGCAGACGGGUGAGUAACAUGUAGGUAUCUGCCCUUUGGCCUGGAAUAACACGAGGAAACUUGUGCUAAUACCGGAUAAGUCUUUACGGAGAAAGCUUUAUGCACCAUUGGAUGAGCCUGCACUUGAUUAGUUUGUUGGUGGGGUAAUGGCCUACCAAGACUGUGAUCAAUAGCUGAUUUGAGAGGAUGAUCAGCCACAUUGGGACUGAGACACGGCCCAAACUCCUACGGGAGGCAGCAGUGGGGAAUCUUGCACAAUGGAGGAAACUCUGAUGCAGCGAUGCCGCGUGAGUGAAGAAGGCCCUUGGGUUGUAAAGCUCUUUCGUCGGGGAAGAAAAUGACUGUACCCGAAUAAGAAGGUCCGGCUAACUUCGUGCCAGCAGCCGCGGUAAUACGAAGGGACCUAGCGUAGUUCGGAAUUACUGGGCUUAAAGAGUUCGUAGGUGGUUGAAAAAGUUAGUGGUGAAAUCCCAGAGCUUAACUCUGGAACUGCCAUUAAAACUUUUCAGCUAGAGUAUGAUAGAGGAAAGCAGAAUUUCUAGUGUAGAGGUGAAAUUCGUAGAUAUUAGAAAGAAUACCAAUUGCGAAGGCAGCUUUCUGGAUCAUUACUGACACUGAGGAACGAAAGCAUGGGUAGCGAAGAGGAUUAGAUACCCUCGUAGUCCAUGCCGUAAACGAUGUGUGUUAGACGUUGGAAAUUUAUUUUCAGUGUCGCAGCGAAAGCGAUAAACACACCGCCUGGGGAGUACGACCGCAAGGUUAAAACUCAAAUGAAUUGACGGGGACCCGCACAAGUAGUGGAGCAUGUGGUUUAAUUCGAAGAUACGCGCAGAACCUUACCAACACUUGACAUGUUCGUCGCGACUCUAAGAGAUUAGAGUUUUCGGUUCGGCCGGACGAAACACAGGUGCUGCAUGGCUGUCGUCAGCUCGUGUCGUGAGAUGUUGGGUUAAGUCCCGCAACGAGCGCAACCCUCACUUUUAGUUGCCAUCAUUAAGUUGGGCACUCUGAAAGAACUGCCAGUGAUAAGCUGGAGGAAGGUGGGGAUGACGUCAAGUCCUCAUGGCCCUUACGUGUUGGGCUACACACGUGCUACAAUGGUAUCUACAACAGGAAGCAAAACUGCGAAGUUAAGCAAAUCCCUAAAAGAUACCUCAGUUCGGAUUGCACUCUGCAACUCGAGUGCAUGAAGCUGGAAUUACUAGUAAUCGUGGAUCAGCGUGCCACGGUGAAUGCGUUCCCGGGUCUUGUACACACCGCCCGUCACACCAUGGGAGUUGGUUCUACCUUAAGGCAAGGUUUUAAACCCUUGACCACGGUAUAGUCAGCGACUGGGGUGAAGUCGUAACAAGGUAGCCGUAGGGGAACCUGCGGCUGGAUUACCUCCUUU
rnacentral:rRNA from 1 species